GGAGAGGUGCUGGAGUGGUUGAUCAGGCUUGCCUGGAAAGCAAGUGUGCGGGAAACCGUACCCAGGGUUCGAAUCCCUGCCUCUCCG
rfam:Candidatus Omnitrophus sp. SKK-01 SAG1846, whole genome shotgun sequence.